UACGGAGGGUGCAAGCGUUAUCCGGAUUCACUGGGUUUAAAGGGUGCGUAGGUGGGCAGGUAAGUCAGUGGUGAAAUCUCCGAGCUUAACUCGGAAACUGCCGUUGAUACUAUUUGUCUUGAAUAUUGUGGAGGUAAGCGGAAUAUGUCAUGUAGCGGUGAAAUGCUUAGAUAUGACAUAGAACACCAAUUGCGAAGGCAGCUGACUACACAACGAUUGACGCUGAGGCACGAAAGCGUGGGGAGCAAACCGG
rnacentral:rRNA from 1 species